CAGGCCCCGAGAAGCACAAGUACGACCCUGAAUAUAGGAUCUUUGCAUGCUUUUUACCUCUAUGAACUAGUUUAUGGAAAAGCUCAAGCUUUUAUAGGAGGGACACAUUUAUUUAUUUGAAUUUUGGUCUACAACAUAUUCAGACUCUAAGUACAUUGUGAUUUCUAUGUUGUUAGAUUCAUCUUUAAUAACACUAAUAGAGUUAAUUACUUUACAAGUCAAUUAUGUUAAUCAGGGCUCUAACAGAGAUUCAAUCUCAACAACCCUUAAAGUGGAAUUUCUUGAUAUUAUCUGAAACCAUGAAAAAAUAGAUGGCCUGUCUUGUAAUGCUGUGCCAUUCCAGACACUUUCGGUAGCUGAUUUGCGUGAACCGGAGAUAUCUUCCCUUAUAGCAACCAAAAUGAAGGAAUUCAAUGAUCUUCAAAUGCCAGUAGGUGAUUUCAUGUCUACAAGAAUUUUACCGACAAAAUACUAGGUGAAAAAAAAUGUAGAUGUUUAAAUCUGAAUUGUUCUUUUUGAAUUUUAGUUCAAGGAAAACUAUAUUUGGUGAAUACAAGCACAUCACUGAAAGAUUCCUAUACUAAAUUUUCUAUCUUUGAUACCAAGGUAAUUUAAAAUUGAAAGAUUUCAAAUUUAAGUAAUGUUUGGACAAAUUCACUGAAUGAGGUAGUUGUUCCACUCUUCUUUUCCUCAUGUCUUGUAAUAGAAAUAUGGAAUUUGUGGUUAUAUUUGGUUAAGUGGUUAAUAUUUAUUCAUUAUCUUCAUUAGAGAACAUGGGUGAUCAUAGAGGUAAGAAUAUGGAAACAAUGUCAUGGUCCAAUCAGAACGAACAUUUUUUUAUCGAAAUACUUUACAAUAAUAUGAAAGCAGGGAAGUUGCAGUGUUCUACGUUCACAAAAGACGAUUGGAGUAAGAUCAAUCAAGAGAUGAUUGUUGCCCCAAAAUCUGAUUACGGGAUAGAGACAAUGAAGGGUAAGUGGAACCGUUUACGUAAGGUGUAUCACUUGUUCUUUGACCUUUUAGGGCAUACGAGUGUUACAUGGGAUCCAAAAACCAACCGAGUGAAUGCUAGAGAAGAAGUUUGGCAACAUUUUUUUACAGUAUGUGUUGUAAAAGAAACUUUUUAGCAUUACUAAUUUAUGAUAUCAUUUUUUGUUUAACAUUUUGCUAUAAAGAUAAACAAGAGUGAUUAUAUGACAUCUAGGAGGGAAGGAUGUAAGCAUUACGAAUUGCUUGGAGAGAUUUUUAGAGGGACUAAAAUUACUAGAGGUCUAGGCAAUGCUUCUACUCAGCUUUCUCCAAUGUCAGACGAAGAAAGACGGCUAGAAGAUGAGUUUCUGAGAAGGGGAGUGCAUGUACAUGUGGAAAAUGAUGAUGAUGAAGUCUCAAAUAUUCGUCGACGUGAUGAUACUACACCUAACAAACGUCGACGUAAGGAACUCAAAAUCAGUAAAGGUGAAAAACUUGAGGAAUGUAUGGGACAAUGGUCAUCUAUUGUUACUAUGAAGAAUGAGGAAACAUGACUCAGGAUGCUAUACCUUAAAGAAAAGCUUGCACGCAUCCAAGAAAAUUCAUCUAAUCAUGAGGACACUAGUGAAGUCACUAGUCCAUAUCCUUAUUCAAAUAUGGCAUGUUUGAACAUCUUAAACAACAUGGAAAGAGUGUCUAACGAGGUUUAUAUGAAAGCAAUAAAGGCUUUUAAGGAUCCAGAUUUCAAGAUGACAUUUGUAAUGAUGCCAGAAAUUAGGAGAGGACCUAUCUUGGAACUUCUUUGAUUUGUCUAACUGGAGUAUUUUGAAUUUAUAAUGUAGGAUUGUGUUCUUUUUAUAUAUUGGCU
rnacentral:lncRNA from 1 species